rnacentral:rRNA from 1 species
UUAGAUUUAGAUUUGAGUAAAAAGGGCUGGUUAAGAAAUGUAAUUUUAUAUAGUUAAAUUUUUAUUAAUAAUUUAGGAAAGAUUUGAUAGGUAUGAACUGUAAAGGUAAUAGUGAGUCUAUAGUGAAGUAGAAAGUUUUUGUACCUUUUGUAUCAGGGUUUACUAAAUUUAUUAAUUUAUUUUAAUUUCCCGAAGAAGAGUGAGCUACUAGAUUAACCUUCUGUUAUGGCAUAAAUAGAGGUAAUUAUAAGGUAGGAGUGAGAUGCUAACGAACUUUUUGUUAUCUGGUUCUAAAUGGAAAUAUGUUAGUGUAGUGUAAGUUAGAUGUUCUAGUUUGCAAGAAGGAUAUUGGGGCUAAGCUCAAUGUCUAAUUUUUAUAUUGUUUAAAUACUUUAUGUAAAUUAGGUCUAAUAGUGGUUUUGUGUAUAAUAACAUAUAAUGUUUUGGUUGUAUUAAGAGGGUACAUUAGAGUUUAGUUAAAUUUAAGGCUAUAUUGAUAAUGGUAAAAUUAGUAGAAUAAAUAAGAUAUUUGAUUAGGUAUGAUUUUGACGUUUUAUUGAGAUUAAAGGGUAUAAUGUACCAUGAAGGAACUCGGCAAUAGGACUCUUUAACUGUUUAUCAAAAACAUUUUUUUAAGUUUAUAGGGUUUAAAGUAGGUUCUGCCCACUGAUAAAAUUAAAGGGCCGCAGUAGCCUGACUGUGCUAAGGUAGCAUAAUCAUUAGGUUUUUAAUUGAGAUCUGGAAUGAAUGGAUGAAUAGGGAGUGACUGUCUAUGUGGUAGUUUUUGAAAUUAAAAUUUUGGUAAUAAUGCUAGAAUAUACUUGUGGGACGAUAAGACCCUAUAAAGCUUUAUUGUUCUUUUUAUGGAUAUUUUUGCUAGCUUUAUAAUAUGAAUGAUUUGGCUGGGGCGGUUUUUAUUUAACUUAGAUUUUCUUAUAAAUUUUGUUGAUCCACUAAUCUAGUGAAGUAAGAUUAAGUUACUUUAGGGAUAACAGCAUAAUAUACUCAUGGAGUUCUAAUCGAAGAGUAUGUUUGUGACCUCGAUGUUGAAUUAAUUUAAUUUUAGGGUGAAGUAGCUUUAAGAAUUAGUCUGUUCGACUAUUGAAUAAUUACGUGAUUUGAGUUCAAACCGGUUUAAGCCAGGUUGG